rnacentral:rRNA from 1 species
GACGAACGCUGGCGGCGUGCCUAAUACAUGCAAGUCGAACGCAGUGGGGACGGGUGAGUAACACGUGGGUAACCUCCCAUCAGAGGGGAUAACACUUGGAAACAGGUGCUAAACCGAUACUGAUGGAUGGACCCGCGGUGAAUUAGCUAGUUGGUGAGGUAACGGCUCCCCAAGGCCACGAUGCAUAGCGGACCUGGGAGGGUGACCGGCAAAAUGGGGACUGAGACACGGCCCAGAUUCCAACGGGAGGCAGCAGUGGGGAUGUUUCGGAAAUGGACGAAAUCCUGACGGAGCAAGGCCGCGGGAGUGAAGAAGGUUUUCGGAUCGUAAAACUCUGUUGUUAGGGAAGCGGUAUCUAACCAGAAAGCCACGGCUAACUACGUGCCAGCAGCCGCGGUAAUAC